CUUGAAGCCCCUCACACCCGCUAUCCGCCCGGGCACUACGAGCACUAGCUUAAAACCCAAAGGACUUGGCGGUGCUUUAGAUCCACCUAGAGGAGCCUGUUCUAGAACCGAUAAUCCCCGUUAAACCUCACCCUCUCUUGUUCUUCCCGCCUAUAUACCGCCGUCGUCAGCUUACCCUAUGAAGGUGCCACAGUAAGCAAAACUAGUACAACUCAAAACGCCAGGUCGAGGUGUAGCAUAUGAGAGGGGAAGAAAUGGGCUACAUUCCCUAUUUUAGGGAAUACGAACAAUGCAAUGAAAUAUGCAUUAGAAGGAGGAUUUAGCAGUAAGCAGAAAAUAGAAUA
rnacentral:rRNA from 1 species